AUACGAUGAUUAUUGCGAUGAGUGUUCACACAGAUUGAUGGUUUAUUAUGUUUUAGUGAUAGAUGUGGGGCUAUAGCUCAGCUGGGAGAGCGCUUGCAUGGCAUGCAAGAGGUCGACGGUUCGAUCCCGUCUAGCUCCACCAUUACUAAAGGUUUUAAUUUAGAAUCUUUAGUAAUGGUUUCGAAAGAAAUCUGCUCUUUAACAAUUUGGAAAGCUGACAAAACAACAAUUUAUUGUUGUUUGUAAAGUUCUCAAUGUUUGUCUUUAUGACAAACACCAACAAACACAUUCAAGUGUUCUUGGGAAUGUCACUUUAGUGACUAUUCGAAAUUGAGUCCGGCAAAAUCAACGCUAUCUCGCUCAUUCAAAUAAUGAGAUAGCAACUUUGGUUGUUUAACAAAGACCCUUUGGGGUUGUAU
rnacentral:misc_RNA from 1 species